GUCCCUGUGUGCUCUGGGCUCUGUCAGCAGAAGGACCAAGGGAAUGAUGUCAGUGUCAGGUCCAUCCUCAGCAUCUCUGAAUUCCAACUUUGUACCUCAAAGUGCCUGGAAUCCCCCAAGUUUUAUAGCAGCAAAAUCACUACUGGGUGUAAGUGACCAGGAAACUAGAGAAAGUGGAUUAAAAGGAAUGAAGUUAUGGAGCAUGAAAAGAUACUCCAAAACCACUGUGGAGGAGGGAAGAGAAGGUUCUGCUCUGGCCCUGGCAUCCAGACACUGCCUCUCUCCUUCCCAUCGGUAUUUCCUUGCAAUCCCACAUUCUCUGCAGCCUGUGAUCAUUGGGAGAGCAGGGAAUAGCUGCUGUGGUUCCCUGCUCUCUGGCAGCGCGGGAGGGAUGAGCCGAGACUGAAAUAAUUUUCUACCACUGAUGUGAGGAUGACUCCAACACCGGCUCCGGCUCCAUCCACAUCACUCCUGCUCCCCAUCUGUGCAAGGAAAAGUAAUCACUUGCCUUACCUCCGGGUUUAAUUAGUCCCUGCUCCGGGGCUAAUUAGGAGCGCGGUCCGUGCGGAGGUCAGGGCCGGAGCCCUCCCUCCCUCUCCCGUUCCCGCUCCCGCUCCCGCUCCCACUCCCGCUCCUGCUCCCGUUCCGUGCCAUCUGCCAUUGCUAGACACUGGCUUUACUUUUCACGCCUGGCUGGGCGCGCUGGAUGCGCGGGGUAAUGGGGCUAUUUUUCCCCCUUGGUCUUUGGAAAGGAAAUAAUAAUAAUAAACCCAGGAAUGGCUGGAACUGCUGCACGCUACCCUUUUCCUUCCCACUUCUGAAGCUUUUUAGCAUUCAGUUUUCCAGCAAUUGGGAGGAAAAUUGCCCUGAAAGAAAGAAACGAAAAUCUGUGUUAUUUUUUAAACACCCCCCGUGCCACACAGGCAGCUGCAGAGAAUUUCUCUUCCAAAGGGAUGAUGUAAUGGGCUUUGUCAGCCAAUGCUGGAAUGAAUAAAACCGGAGACCCGAAAUCCAUCCAGGCUUUUGAUGAAACUCCUGAGGUUCCUGAAGCAAGUGGUCGCCAAAAUGGGCUGGAACCGCUGGUUUUGUCAUGCAGAUCUUGAGAGAAGUGAGAUGGAGAGUCAAGGGCUCCAACCAGGGAGUAACCAAAACCACCAAGUUUUGUCCCUUCUGACGGAAGGGGAUCUUGUGCAGAGCAUCUGGGGACACUCAGAGAGGGGGUGCACAGCCCUUGGUGCCGGGAUGUCAACCCAGACUUCAGCAUCCACCACAGAGUCACUCCUGAUCUGAACAUGGGACCUACAGCCACAUUUUAGAGAGAGAUAUAUGUGUAUAUUUAAUAUUAUGUAUGUUAUAUAUAAUAUUAUUGCCCAGAGAAGCUGUGGCUUCCUCAUCCCUGGAAGUGUCCAAGGACAGGUUAGAUGGGGCUGGGAGCAACCCAGGAUAGUGGGAGGUGUUCCUGCCUAAGGCAGGGGGUGGAACUUCAUGGAUUUAUGGUCCCUUCCCACCCAAAGCAGUCUGGGAUUCUGUGAUAUGUAUAAAACAUAAAUAUAUAAACUAUACACAGAUAUCACCAAUUCCUGCUGCAGCAAUGGGCACAUUGUUGCUCUCCCAAGGAUGUCAUGGAAUGCUGAGGCCAGGAGAUUUCUCCUCUCACUCCAUGACUUAUCUCAAGUCUCUCUCUAGCUUUCUUGGAGCCCCUUUAGGCACUGGAAGAGGCUCUAAGGUCUCCCAGAACCUUCUUCAGAACACCCCCAGCUCUCCCAGCCUGUCCCCAUAGGACACACACCACUGUUCCUGUCACCCCAAAUUUCUGCAGUGAGAAGGCUGUGGGGCAGGCAGGGAGAGCACCAAGCACUCCAGAAGGUUCCAGCUCUUGCAGGGACGUCACACUUCCAAGUGGUGGCGGAAGAAGCAUGGAUACAUUUCGCCUUGGCUGCUCUCUGGUCCCUGCUGGCCUUGUGCAUCAUCGCUGGGCAUUUCUGCAGCGGGAGCUGGGACAGAGCUGCUUCCACCAUCCCGCAAGCCCUGUGGAGCCACUGCCACGGUGCCACAUCCCUGGGAGCUGUGGUACCAUCUCCUCAUCCUGGUGCUGUCACCCCAGGCAGCUGGAUAACCCCAAAUUCCCAGGGAUGACCUCACUGUGUGUGCAGAGCAGCUGUGCAGGAACACCCAGCUAGGAUCACCACCUAGGGGCCGCAGCACCAAGUGAAGCUGGGAAGAUUUAUAGCCAAGAUGGGCCAAAAAGGGAGUUGGAAAUAAUUCCCGAGCCCAAAUGGAGCAAUACUGAGAGCUGGGAGUCUGGACCCCUUCUUCAGUCCAGUGGUGGCUGUCACCUCACCUUCAGCACCAGCAGCAUCCAGCAAACCUGGCCCCUAGGGUGGCAUUUGGGGAGGGAGUUUUGCCAAGAGCAGGAGGAUGUGGUGCCCUUUUCCUCCUGGGAAAAAUUCAGCUCCAAUGGAGAAUAUUCCUGGGAGCACACCUGCACAAGGGGAUGUGCACAGCCCAGGUCAGUGGCACAGGGCUUGGCAGGGACACAGGUGGUACCUUGGGUACAUCCAUGCCAUCUGUCCCCACCAACAGCCACAUCCAGUGGACAGCAGGGAAGUUUUCCUCCUUUCAAAGUGUCUGGAAUGUGGCUGAAGGGGCUCAGACCAAAGUGGGGGUACAAACCUGUGUCCCCUCACCCCCCAGCUCCAUCCAGAGGCAGGGACAACUCCAGGUCCUCUCCCACCACCAUGGGUUGCUGGUCCUGCACUGGUGACAUGUCUUUGUGUCCCACAGCCCCACCAGAUCAUCUUCCAAGAAUUUGUGUAAUCACUUCCUAAGCCAUUAUGAUUCCUGGGCUGAAUUUGGGCAAUGAGUUACAUGGUUUAAUUACUCAUUGUGUGAAAUACGUUCGUUUUGCAUCUGCCACUCAGUAAUUUCAUUUGGGGCCUCUUUGUUUGCUUUGUGUCCCCACACAAGAGCCACCGACCCCUAUUCACUGUCCCUGUGCCGCUGCACCAGGGAAUACAAAUCCCGCCUCCUUUCCCCCCUCCGUCUGUCAAUUCUUUGCGAGACAAAAAGGGUAAUUUAUUUAAUUGCUGCUGAUAUAAUGUCCUAAAAGUCUCCUUUUCCCUCCAACACUUAAUUACACUUGUUAAUUAUUUUAAUUAUUCCCAGGGUAAUGCUGUAGGUAUAGAGGAGCAGAGGAGUAAACAUGGAGCAGGGAAGUCGGGGUUUACUCCAAGAUCUCUGUUGAUAACCAGGCUGUAACCACAUGGGUGGUGAAACCAAAGCAGGGAACGUUUGGCCUGGAUUUGGAACUUUCUGUUGGGAGCAUGGAAGGAUUUAUAGGAGGGGAAGGCAGAUCCUGCAGGAUUUCCCUCGGAUGAGGCCUGGAGAGGCAACUCUGGCCCUUCUCUCCUGGGAGAGAUGGCACAAAAUGGAACCAUGACUUGGGGAAGCACUUCUGGUCAGCACCUCCAUGAUGGUGGAUUUGUAUGAAGGAAGAAACCAAACCAAGCAAACUUCCAUCCCACUGGAAAGCUGAGGCUCAGCCUGAGGCUUAAGGACAGCGUACCUCUAACUCCAGCUGUGUUCCGAGGGGAGCGGUGGCCCCGGAUCCGUGAACAGCAAAGCUCAUUUGUGGUCCCGCAGAGCAGCCUCUGCCAGCGCCCCCGGAGCCAGGGUGAAACCUGAGAGCUGCCGCAAUCCAAACCUUCUCCACAGCUUCUUUUAUCUUCCUGGGGGGAAAACAAACAGCGCAGAAGCCGGAGCUUUGUGGCUGGGAUGUCGCACAUCUGGUUUGAGCUCCAAGAAAUGCACUUCCACCCCCUCCCCAAAUUGUUCGUGUUAAACAAACAAAAUCCCGGCGAUUUUGCGAGAUUUUGGCGCUGGAUAACUUCGGAGCAGCUUUGACUGAGAAUGCCAGGCUUGUGCUACACUUCAUCUCCAGUGGAAGCAGCGCGCCUCGCUCGCCGGGAGGGAGGCACUUCCAAAGGGGAACAGCCGUGCCCUGGAACCCCCUUACCGGGAAUGCUGCCAAGGCUGGGAGCAGGGAGUGGUCUUGACCACUCUGUGUUUAGGUUUCAAUCCAGCAUUUUUCCCUGUGUUAUUUAUGCUUCCUCCCCUCCUCCCCUCUUAAGAAAGUCUGGAAUUGUUUAAGAUGUGUCCAAUUGUAUUAAGUUGCCUUUUGAGAGCUUUAUGGUGUCAAUUGGAUUCCCGCUCUUAGGAACAGAGCUUUCCAAUUUGCCAUUUUCCCCUUUUCUAUCACAUCAGCACCAACUUCCUUUCAGUGCUUUCAGAUGUUACGUCAGCCUGAAGGUCACGCUAAUCCCUGGACAUCACUUGCAGAUUCCCAUUUGACACAGUCCCAGUGAUUCCCUGGUUGGUGCUGCAGGAGGAAGGGAGUGUCAUUCCUCUGGGAUCUUCUCCCAUGGGCCCCUCCCUGUUGUUUUCCAGCAGAGGUGGAUAAAUCAGGGCAGAUCAUGGAAUCACAGAGUGGUUUGGGUUGGAAGGGACCUUAUAGACAUCUCAUUCUAUCCCCUGCCAUGGGCAAGGACACCUUCCACUAUCCCAGGUUGCUCCAAGCCCCAUCCAGCCUGGCCUUGGACACUUCCAGGGACGGGGCAGCCACAGCUUCUCAGGGAAAAGAUGAGAGGUGUGGAUGAGGGGGGUGGGAGCAGCUCUGAUCCUCUCCCCAUCCCCUCCUUGACUCACCCUAGCCCAAUCCCAAUCACACCCCUUCCAAAGCAGGGGACAAUGGCCACAUGAGUCAUCAGUGACAUCUGUCCCCGUGUUCAUGCUCACUUGUGACCAGCUCCAGUUCCUCUGGGCACUGGGACAGUCUCUGGAAGCUACGUUGACAUUGCUCUUUCCAAGGACAGAGGCUCCUCGAAAGCCGCCCA
rnacentral:lncRNA from 1 species